rnacentral:tRNA from 1 species
GGUGGCUCAGUGGUAGAGUGCUUGCCUUGCAUGCAGGAGUCCCUGGGUUUGAUUCCCCAGCACCA